ACCUCCUCCGGUGAAGUCUCCUCCUCCACCUUAUUACUACCAUUCACCCUCUCCUCCGGUAAAAUCUCCUCCUCCACCUUAUUACUACCAUUCACCUCCUCCUCCGGUAAAAUCUCCUCCUCCACCUUAUUACUACCAUUCUCCACCUCCUCCAGUUAAAUCUCCACCACCACCGUACUAUUAUCAUUCUCCACCUCCUCCGGUGAAAUCUCCACCACCUCCAUACUACUACCAUUCUCCGCCUCCUCCAAUGAAAUCUCCACCACCUCCAUAUUACUACCAUUCUCCGCCUCCUCCGGUGAAGUCUCCUCCACCACCAUACUACUAUCAUUCACCUCCUCCUCCAGUGAAGUCUCCUCCACCACCUUACUACUAUCAUUCACCACCUCCCCUAGUGAAAUCUCCACCACCACCGUACUACUACCAUUCUCCUCCUCCUCCCAUGAAAUCUCCCCCUCCUCCUUACUACUACAACUCCCCACCACCACCGGUGAAAUCUCCACCACCUCCUUAUUACUACAAGUCUCCUCCUCCAGUAAAAUCCCCACCACCUCCAUACUACUACCAAUCACCUCCACCACCACCAAAAGCCUACUCUCCACCUUACUACUACACAUCUCCACCACCGCCGGUCUCAUAUCCUCACCCCCAUCCUCACCCACACCCAAAACCACUUGUAUUCAAAGUUGUUGGUAAAGUUUACUGCUAUAGAUGCUACGACUGGACUUACCCUAAGAAGUCACACGACAAAAAGCAUCUCAAAGGUAAAUUUACGAAUCUGUUAUUACCUACUAUAUAGACAGUGAAAUAAAGAAAAUGGUUACUACAAAUCUUUUUUAAAAAGACAGAACUUGUUAUUGACUUGAGCGAGAUCAAGAUCCAAUAAUAGAAAGAAGUUAGUAAGUUUGCGAUUUUUUAUAUUUAAAUAUAUUUAUUUUUGUCACGUAGGGGCUGUCGUGGAGGUGACAUGCAAGGCAGGAGACAAAACGGUCAAAGCGUACGGUAAGACAAAGAUAAACGGUAAAUAUGCAAUCACCGUGGAAGGGUACAACUACCGCAAAUACGGCGGCGAGGAAUGCACGGCCAAGUUACACGCGCCACCAAAGGGAUCACCUUGUAAUAUUCCUACAAGUUAUCAUAUGGGUAACGAAGGAGCUAAACUUCAUGUGAAAUCAAAGACCAAGUACGAGGUUGUGCUUUACGCCAAGUCCUUUGCUUAUGCACCUAAGAAGCCUUAUGAGGAAUGCCGUAAACCAGCUCCUUACCACCCACCUUAUUACUACAAGUCUCCGCCGCCUCCAACUCCGGUUUACUACUACAAGUCCCCGCCGCCGCCUGCCCCAACUUACGUCUAUAAGUCGCCACCACCUCCAACUCCAAAGUAUGUCUAUAAAUCACCGCCACCAACUACUCCAACUUACGUUUACAAGUCUCCUCCACCACCAACUCAUUUUCCUACACCGUAUUACUAUCACUCACCUCCACCACCGGUUAAGUCUCCACCUCCACCGUACUAUUAUCAUUCGCCACCUCCACCAGUGAAAUCUCCACCACCACCCUACUACUACCAAUCUCCUCCACCUCCAGUGAAAUCUCCCCCACCUCCAUACUAUUACAAGUCUCCUCCACCACCGGUAAAAUCUCCACCACCACCUUACUACUACCACUCUCCUCCUCCUCCGGUCAAAUCUCCUCCACCGCCAUACUACUACCACUCUCCUCCUCCACCAGUCAAAUCCCCACCACCACCAUAUUACUACCAAUCCCCACCCCCUCCAGUGAAAUCUCCUCCACCACCAUAUUAUUACCAUUCUCCACCUCCUCCGGUGAAAUCUCCACCACCUCCAUAUUAUUACCACUCUCCUCCUCCACCAGUCAAAUCACCACCACCUCCAUAUUAUUACCACUCUCCUCCUCCACCGGUCAAAUCACCACCUCCUCCUUACUACUACCAUUCACCACCCCCGCCAAUGAAAUCACCUCCACCACCGUAUUAUUACCAUUCUCCUCCUCCUCCCGUGAAAUCUCCCCCUCCUCCUUAUUACUACCACUCACCACCUCCACCAGUCAAAUCUCCACCUCCUCCUUAUUACUAUCAGUCACCACCGCCACCAGUAAAAUCUCCCCCACCACCAUACUACUACAACUCACCUCCUCCACCAGUCAAAUCUCCACCACCACCGUACCAUUACAACUCUCCCCCUCCUCCCUUGAAAUCUCCACCUCCAGUCUACAUCUACGCAUCUCCACCACCUCCCAUCC
rnacentral:lncRNA from 1 species